UUCAUGCCCCGGGUGACGUUUCUCCCCCUAACUCCGCCAGGUCCGGAAGGAAGCAACGGUAAAGGGGAGAGCGGGUGCCCGUGGGCUUACCUGU
rnacentral:SRP_RNA from 1 species